rnacentral:rRNA from 1 species
AGUCCGAAACGGGCGAUUAGUUGCGUGUAUUAUAACCCGAAGCGGGGUGAUCUACACUUGGCCAGGAUGAAGCGUGGGUAAAGCCACGUGGAGGUCCGAACUCAUGGAGGUUGAAAACUUCUGGGAUGAGCUGAGUGUAGGGGUGAAAGGCCAAUCAAACUCCGUGAUAGCUGGUUCUCACCGAAAGAUAUUUAGGUAUCGUCUUGAGUCAUUCAGUGGCGGAGGUAGAGCACUGGAACGGCUAGGGGUCUCACCAGAUUACCAAACCGUACCAAACUCCGAAUGCCGCCAACUGUUAUCUCAGGAAGCAGUCAGUGGGUGAUAACGUCCAUUGGCAAGAGGGGAAUAACCCAGACCGACAGCUAAGGCCCCCAAAUCUAGACUAAGUGAACACUAGAAAGGAUGUGGCAGGUCAUUGACAACCAGGAGGUUGGCUUAGAAGCAGCCAUCCUUUAAAGAAAGCGUAAUAGCUCACUGGUCAAGACAGGCCGCGCCGAAAAUGUAACGGGGCUCAAGUCUAGUGCCGAAGCUUCGGGUCAUGCAUGUUUUGACAUGCAUGGCGGUAGGUGAGCGUCCCAACUGCAGCGAAGCCAGACCGUAAGGGCUGGUGGAGCGGUUGGAAGUGCUGAUGCCGAAAUGAGUAGCGAUAAAGGGGGUGAGAAACCCCCUCGCCGUAAACCCAAGGUUUCCUGGGGCAGGUUAAUCCUCCCAGGGUUAGCCGGAUCCUAAGCUGAGGCCGAAAGGCGUAGGUGAUGGGGAGCAGGUUAAUAUUCCUGCGCCAUCUUGUAGACGUUGAACCAAGAGAGGACGGAGAAGGUUAGGCGAGCCGGGUGUUGGAUGUCCCGGUCCAAAGCCGUAGGCGUGUCCCGUACGAUUAAAAGGCGGGGCUUUAACGUCGAGAGCUGAUGGCGAGCGCGUUAGCGCGAAGUCGUUGAUACCACGCUUCCAAGAAAAGUCUCGUGGGGAGUCUACAGGGUGUCCGUACCGCAAACCGACACAGGUGGGUGAGGAGAAAAUCCUAAGGCGAUUGAGAGAACUCUCUCCAAGGAACUCGGCAAAUUACCACCGUAACUUCGGAAGAAGGUGGGCCCUCCGUAGGUGUAGUCGUACAGACGAAGCCGAUGAGGGUUGCAGAGAAAUGGCGGUAGCGACUGUUUACCAAAAACACAGGACUCUGCGAAGACGACAAGUCGACGUAUAGGGUCUGACUCCUGCCCGGUGCUGGAAGGUUAAGGGGAUUCGUCAGCCGCAAGGUGAAGCGAUGAUCCGAAGCCCCAGUAAACGGCGGCCGUAACUAUAACGGUCCUAAGGUAGCGAAAUUCCUUGUCGGGUAAGUUCCGACCUGCACGAAUGGAGUAACGACUUCCGCGCUGUCUCGGAGAGGGACUCAGCGAAAUUGAAAUAGCUGUGCCGAUGCAGUUUACCCGCAGCAAGACGGAAAGACCCCGUGAACCUUUACUACAACUUGACAGUGACACUAGGGAUUGACCGA